UGGCCACCUCACGUUGAAACACCAGUACUCGUACGAUCACCGAAGUUAAGCAACGUUUAGACUGGUCAGUACCUAGAUAGGUAACCGCUUGGGAAUAACAAAUACUGCAA